GUGGGGAAUCUUAGACAAUGGGGGCAACCCUGAUCUAGCCAUGCCGCGUGAGUGAUGAAGGCCUUAGGGUUGUAAAGCUCUUUCACCGAUGAAGAUAAUGACGGUAGUCGGAGAAGAAGCCCCGGCUAACUUCGUGCCAGCAGCCGCGGUAAUACGAAGGGGGCUAGCGUUGUUCGGAUUUACUGGGCGUAACGCGCACGUAGGCGGUUUGUUAAGUCAGGGGUGAAAUCCCGGAGCUCAACUCCGGAACUGCCUUUGAUACUGGUAAGCUAGAGGCCGAAAGAGGUAAGGGGAACUCCUAGUGUAGAGGUGGAAUUCGUAGAUAUUAGGAAGAACACCAGUGGCGAAGGCGGCUUACUGGUCCGGAACUGACGCUGAGGUGCGAAAGCGUGGGGAGCAAACAGGAUUAGAAACCCUGGUAGUCC
rnacentral:rRNA from 1 species